CAAUAGCGUAUAUUAAAGUUGUUGCAGUUAAAAAGCUCGUAGUUGGAUUUGUGGCGUACGGUGUGUUCCGGGCACUUGUUGUCUGAGUAACCUGCUGUUGCCAUCCUUGGGUGGAACCUGUGUGGCAUUAGGUUGUCGUGCAGGGGAUGCCCAUCAUUACUGUGAAAAAAUUAGAGUGUUCAAAGCAGGCUCAUGCCGUUGAAUAUAUUAGCAUGGAAUAAUGAGAUAGGACUUUUUUGCUAUUUUGUUGGUUUGCGCAAAGAGGUAAUGAUUAAUAGGGACAGUUGGGGGUAUUCGUAUUCCAUUGUCAGAGGUGAAAUUCUUGGAUUUUUGGAAGACGAACUACUGCGAAAGCAUUUACCAAGGAUGUUUUCAUUAA
rnacentral:rRNA from 1 species